UGUUUUUAGAUUAAAACGGAUUAUAUUGAUUAAAAUUGGUUAAUCAGUUCAUUAUCUUAUCUUGUAGAAUAUUUGCACUAUUUAUAUUAUGUCUCAGGAUAAAAACGUUAUUAACGAUUUGAAGUGGGACUCAGGCACAUUUCUAAUCAUGAAGAACUUCAUUGUCAUCGCACUGUUGUCAACCUUGUCAGUCUGCCUAGGCGCAGUUGUACAGAAUGCCCAAUUUCCCAUAAACGUAGGAGUUUUGGAACCCGGAGAUUGGGUUAUGAUAAGCGGCGAAAGUCGGGCCAUCCAACAUCCUAAUUUAGUAAUAAACCAUAUAACUGUGCGAACUCGAUUACAUCCUGAUUACAAGGUUAAUAUGGCUAAGUUCAUCGAUCGAGCACCAGAAACAGGAGGCUUUAUUUCAUUCGUAGGAGGUAUUGGAACUAAUUAUGUAACCUUUAUAGUAUCGGCUCAGAGAGGUGGAGGAUUCCAUUUUAGUUAUCAGCUGUGGGGACAUGAUACAACAGGGGCUGAAAUAAGGCACUCUUUAGAGUCUAUAGAAUGUACUAUGACAGUGGACGACGGAAAAACUGUUAAAACUUAUAACUGUAAUGAAUUUGUUCAUUAAAUAUUGGAGUCAAAUAAAUUGUUCAUUAAA